UACAGAGGGUGCAAGCGUUAAUCGGAAUUACUGGGCGUAAAGCGUGCGCAGGCGGUUGUGCAAGACAGAUGUGAAAUCCCCGGGCUUAACCUGGGAAUGGCAUUUGUGACUGCACGGCUAGAGUGUGUCAGAGGGGGGUAGAAUUCCACGUGUAGCAGUGAAAUGCGUAGAUAUGUGGAGGAAUACCGAUGGCGAAGGCAGCCCCUGGGAUAACACUGACGCUCAUGCACGAAAGCGUGGGAGCAAACAGG
rnacentral:rRNA from 1 species